rnacentral:rRNA from 1 species
UACGCAGGGUGCGAGCGUUGUCCGGAAUUAUUGGGCGUAAAGGGCUCGUAGGCGGUCUGUCGCGUCGGGAGUGAAAACUCGGGGCUUAACUCCGAGCCUGCUUCUGAUACGGGCAGACUAGAGGUAUGCAGGGGAGAAUGGAAUUCCUGGUGUAGCGGUGAAAUGCGCAGAUAUCAGGAGGAACACCGGUGGCGAAGGCGGUUCUCUAGUACGGUACUGACGCUGAGACGCGAAAGCGUGGGGAGCGAACAGG